GGGAAAUGAGGAGUGGUCAUUUUUCGCUAAUUUUGCGAAAUGGGUGUCCAGCCCAAGCCUGUUACGACAAUAUGGUCAUCCCAAUUUAUACCAUCUGAUCCC
rfam:Spinacia oleracea cultivar SynViroflay scaffold48630.con0003.1, whole genome shotgun sequence.